AUUGAACGCUGGCGGCAGGCCUAACACAUGCAAGUCGAGCGAGCGGCGGACGGGUGAGUAAUGUCUGGGAAACUGCCUGAUGGAGGGGGAUAACUACUGGAAACGGUAGCUAAUACCGCAUACCAUCAGAUGUGCCCAGAUGGGAUUAGCUAGUAGGUGGGGUAACGGCUCACCUAGGCGACGAUCCCUAGCUGGUCUGAGAGGAUGACCAGCUGCACGGGAACGGGGACACGGCCCAGGCUCAUACGGUAGGCAGCAGUGGGGAAUCUUGUACAAUGGUCGCAAGCCUGAUGCCGCCAUGCCGCGUGUGUGAAGAAGGCCUUCAGGUUGUAAACCACUUUCAGCGGGGAGGCGUUACCCGCAGAAGAAGCACCGGCUAACUCCGUGCCAGCCGCCGCGGUAAUUC
rnacentral:rRNA from 1 species